CUUGCUCUCUUCCUCUCCCUCACGGCUGUACCCUCACCACAGCCCAAACCGCAGCUCACCACAACCCAAAUCGGAAUCGGCAGCCACGCUGCCCUCCUCUGCGAGCAGCCCCAAGCAGCAAGCAAGCAGGCUACGUGCCUUUCUCUUCCCAUCAGCAGUCAGGCUGCUUUGUGCCGCCAGCAGGAGCAGCCGCACUCGGUGCUUCCUCCACCAUCCCCCACAACGCUGGUUCACCACCACCACAACCUUAUCCACCUCUUCACCAUUUUUACUACUUUUAACUUUGUGGCCAUUUCGUAAGAGGAAAAUGGAGCCUUAGUUGGGGUGAUUUUGUGACUUUUGAUCGUGCAGUGACGCUUACAGCAGGGGGAUUAUAGACAAGCGUAGCAGGUACUGGAGCUUCUUUUGCAUUGCAUUGCAUUUGGGAAGAGUGACGAGAGCGAAGCAUACCCUGUGUCAUACCGCUACCUUUCGAUUUCGUAGUUUUUGUUAUCUUUUGUAAACCAUGGUUGUAUAUGUUUUGUUAUGAGGCCUUGCGUCCUCCCUCGCAUAUUUGUAUUUCCGCUGCGUAGUUUAUAACUCUGUAUGGUUUUGAGGAGUUAAGUCUUUUUAAAACGCAAACGUCGACACUGGAACCACGAUUCAUGCUUGGCAUGUUGAUUUGAGAAGCCGGCGACGAAUUAUUCCGCCCUGACAUAGCUUUGAUAGGCCGUUGGUGCCUUUACUUUAUUAGUUUCUGAAUUAACUUUUGUUUUUCUACAAAGACGCACAGUUUUAAGGCAGAUGCUGCCAAAAUUUCCACUCUCCUUUUUAAAGUUAAUAAUUAAAGUUUAUCUAAAUUCUUUUCCUUUUUCUUUUAUGUAACACCCGAAUUUCCUUCCGUCCUUUACGGUUUUUGCUUCGUUGAGGGGUCGGAAAUUCUGGGAUGUUACAGGUGGUUACCAGAGCCAGUGGUCCCUAUUUUCGACGCUUUGUGUCCUCAAAAUCGUGUAGAAAUUGCUUGAAGUUAGAAGUCAUUCUUGAGAGUUUGGGUAGAUAUGGGAUAGGUGCAUACAUUACAUAUUCAUGCAUAAUGAUUACCAUUGCACGUGCAUAGAUCAAUAUAUAGUUUGUUUAGCUUUUUAUGAGACUCAUUCUCAUGUGUGUUGUUAUUAUAAAUAAUAAUUAUGAUGCUGGUUUGAAU